rnacentral:lncRNA from 1 species
GGAAAUUUCUCUGUUGUGGAGUACUCUACUUUUUCAGUUUGGGAUAUUGGGCUCUGAAGUUUGAUUCUAGCUCCUAUGUGGUCUUUUUCUAUGUGUAAUUCUACCAUAUGACCUUAACAAAGGAAAUUUCUCUGUUGUGGAGUACUCUACUUUUUCAGUUUACAAUGCCCACUAGUAUCUCCUCAUAGAAUGGAUCCUCCUGGGGUAAAGGGGCUUGUGGGAU